AAUCGGUUAUUUUAGAACCGAUUUUGUAUACUACAUACAAAAUCGGUUCUAGAAUAACCGAUUU
rnacentral:pre_miRNA from 8 species